CCCGAAUAUAAGCCCAGUAGCCCACUACGUUAUUCAACAUUGACAUUGUCUUUUAAUAUAGCAGAGAACGAUAUUUAAAAACAUUGUCAUUAUAGCAGACUAUGUGAAUCAAAGCGCGUUAUUAAUACAUGUUUAUUUUCCUGUUUAUGACUGACUUGUUUAUGUCUGACUUGUUUAUUACUAACACAAAAUAUCGUCCAUGUAUUAGCCCCCCCCCGUAUAUAAGCCCCCCUUGUAUAAGCCCAUCAAAAAUCGCUUACAAAAGUAUAUAAGCCCAGGGCUUAUAGUCG
rnacentral:lncRNA from 1 species